rnacentral:rRNA from 1 species
GACGUAGGGGGCAAGCGUUGUCCGGAUUUAUUGGGCGUAAAGAGCGCGCAGGCGGUCGUUCAAGUCGCGUGUGAAAGCCCCCGGCUCAACUGGGGAGGGUCACGCGAUACUGAUCGACUGGAAGGCAGGAGAGGGUAGUGGAAUUCCCGGUGUAGUGGUGAAAUGCGUAGAUAUCGGGAGGAACACCAGUGGCGAAGGCGACUACCUGGCCUGUUCUUGACGCUGAGGCGCGAAAGCUAGGGGAGCAAACGGG